CCUACGGGGGGCAGCAGUGGGGAAUAUUGCACAAUGGGGGAAACCCUGAAGCAGCGACGCCGCGUGAGUGAAGAAGGAAUUCGGUAUGUAAAGCUCUAUUAGCAGGGAAGAAAAUGACGGUACCUGAGUAAGAAGCGACGGCUAACGACGUGCCAGCAGCCGCGGUAAUACGUAGGGGGGAAGCGUUAUCCGGAUUUACUUGGUGUAAAGGGAGCGUAGACGGCAGUGCAAGUCUGGAGUGAAAGGCGGGGGCUCAACCCCCGGACUGCUCUUGAAACUGUACGGCUGGAGUGCAGGAGAGGUAAGUGGAAUUCCUGGUGUAGCGGUGAAAUGCGUAGAUAUUAGGAAGAACACCAGUGGCGAAGGCGGCUUACUGGACUGUAACUGACGUUGAGGCUCGAAAGCGUGGGGAGCAAACAGGAUUAGAUACCCGAGUAGUC
rnacentral:rRNA from 1 species